UUCAUCAUAGUGAACCGUUUCAGAGCUCCUACCCACAGACCCAAGUCAAAUGCUGAGGCGCGUAACAGUGGAAGUUCGCAGGUAUGAGCGCGCGUUUCGGUCUUCGCUCUGAGCUUUGAAAUACUUCUCGACUUCAACGCGCUAUGCCUUCCGAAGUUUUGUUUGGAGACGGGGAAGGACAGCAGGAUGGAGAACAAGGCGACUGACGUCUGUAUGGACUGAAGACAAGAGCGCGCUAUGGAGAUGACCGCUCGCCUCGCGCACUUGGACACCAAGGUGGAUGGCAGAAACUGUGAUGGACUUGUCAACCAUAACGGGGAAACGACUGAGAUAAGAGUACCGCUGUCUCACACGGGGAAGAGACUCGGUCCGAUCGAGGGGGGGAAUCUUUACAGACUGCGUGACAGAAAGUUCCUUCUGGAGGACAAGAAGCGCCUCUGCGCGUGGGCACUGGGAGCCGCGCUGUUAGGCAUUCUGCUGAUGGUAUUACAUGCUGAGCUGUGCCCACUAGUGUAUCAACCAGAAUCCAUUUAUGCCCUCUCCAUAAAUGGUCUCAUCAGUUUCUCCACGGGUUGUUUGCUCAUUCUCAUCAUCGCCUUCCAUUAUAAAGACAUCAGACUUUUUAUCAUUGACCACAACCAGGUGGACUGGCGCAUUGCCAUGACGAGUAACCGGGUGCUUGGCAUCUCCCUGGAACUCGUUGUCUGUGCUAUCCAUCCCGUGGCAAUCUACCUGAGGCCAGAUAUGGGGGACAGACUGGCGGGGGAGCCAGAGCAAAAUUCCUCUACCCCCCUCUGCUUGUCCUCGAGUCACAAAGAAGUCAUGCUGGAUGUGGAGCUGCUGCUGUCGGCCCUCAUGUUCCUGAGACUGUAUCUCGUGCACAGAGCCGUCCUGCUACACAGCAAGGUGCUCCUCAGCGCCUCGUACAGGAGCAUCGGCUCCCUCAACAACAUCAACUUCAGCUUCCGCUUUGUGCUCAAGGUGCUAAUGAACAAGUAUCCGGCCCGCACGCUGCUGGUCUUCAUUAUGUUCUUCUGGCUCUCCGCAGCUUGGAUGCUGCGACUGUGUGAAAGGCAGCAACAGGUAGAGACAGGUGGCAUGGACACAGCAUUGUGGCUGAUAGCCAUCACCUUCCUCACAGUGGGAUAUGGAGAUGUGUACCCUCACACCAGCUGUGGCAAGUUGGUGUGUCUCUUCACAGGUGUCAUGGGUGUGGCAUGUACUGCUAUGUUGGUAGCAGUCAUGACUAAGAAACUGGCGCUUAACAAAGGGGAGAAACAUGUGCAUUUCUUCAUGAUGGACAUUCAGAUCUCCAAGCGGAUGGAGAGCAUACAUAAAAUUGAUGAGAUGAUGGAGAUUGCCAGGAGCUGGGGACAGGUGAGUAUAGAAGGUUUGGAGUGAAAAGAUUGAGGGAGACACUAGAAGACACGAAGGAGACAAAACAAAUCUCUGAAUGAGGUAAGUAGAAGAUCCCGGGUAAGACGAACAUACAUUUUGAGUCCUUAAUCCACAAUGGAGACCAAACAAUGAGGCAGUAAGGAGUGUGUGCUUUUAUAGCGCUGGCUGAGUGAUGAGAUCAUCUGUGACAGACUGAUUAGAAUUCUGGUGAUUGAGUGCGCUAUCUGAUGGGUGAGCCUGGUUUGGCCAUGACGAACCCCCCUCUCUACGGCCUGCUCCUGAGGGCCUCAAUGUCAUGGUGGAUGACCUCGAAUAUGUGAUGCAUGGAACUCAGCUUUAAGAUUGGGGUCUAAGAUGUCAUGCCUGGGGACCCAAGAUCUAUCCUCUGGAACAUUGUUUUCCCAAUCAACAAGGUAUUCCAGCCAACAACUACAGCACCGGGAGUUCAAGAUCUCCUUGACUGCACAAACCAUUCCAUCCUCUAGUACAGGGGUGGCAGUCCUGACGACUUUUGCUUCAAGCCUAAUCAAACAGACCUGGACAAGCUAAUCAAGGCCUGAAAGGUUGAAGUCUGCUGGACUGUGGCUCUCCAGGACCGGAGUAGCUAUCCUGGCUCUAGUACUAUUGGAAGAGGGGGAUCAACCACGGGACCAGGCUCUGUGGGAACAGGAGAAACAGGUGAGUGGUAAACUUUUAAGAGUUAAACAUGGAAAAUGGGGGGAAUUCUGUAGUGUGGAGGUAAUUUUAACUAAUAAGUGACCAGGUUGAUUUGGCGAAUGACCAGGAAGGAACCUGGGACUCAGCUUCUUGCAGGGGAGUUAUACUGGACAUUCUGGCCUGGUUGGAAAAUGGCUGUCUGGACAGCAGCAUGGUGUAUCUGAUGAUGAACAGCCCUCUGCCAAAGUCGGUGAGCUGAGUCCCAGAGCCUCACGGUCUCCUGGAACCAGUGGGUCACAGAUGUCAGAACAGAAUAUUCCCAAGACCAGAGGAACAGUGGUGGCUGGUAAUCUAGUAUGCACUGGAGUGAGGCGAGACCCGUGGCUGGUUGAUGGAGGGAGUUUUGUGCGUAUUUGCCCAUGCAAAGUAACAAUUCCAGGAGUUCUGGUAGCUAUGGCAGAAGGUAUGGAGAAAAUGGCCUGUCUCAUGGAUUUUCUUUUCCUUCUGGCCAUUGCUUUGAGGGUGAUAACCAGAAGAAAGACUGACUAUGUCCUCUAGAAUGCUGUAGUUGUGGAAGACAUGAUUGAACAGCUGUUUCCAUUACUGUUGGUAGGCCCUUGAGAGGAACCAGUUGACAGGCUUUAGAGAAUCUGUCUACCACAACCACAAUGUAGGUGAACCCCUCUGAGGCAAAUCCAUCACAAAAUCCACUCCUAGAUUUAACCAGGGACACUGAGAAAUGGGAAGUGGAUUGGUAAGAGGAGAGGUGAUGGCACUAUAGUUAUUGGUGAAACGGCAAUACAAGUUGGAGAAACCAAGAAAUCACUGGGGCUCUUUAAUAGUAGUUGGUCCAGCUUCCUCUCAUCCAUUCUGAUACCACUGGAACUGAUGUAAUAUCUGAAGAACUGGAUGGAGGAAAGAUGGAAGGUAUAUUUCUUAGAUUUGAGAUACAGUUUGUGUUCACAGAGCUUCUUGAGGACCUUAGUAAUGUACUGGCGAUGUUCAGUCUUGUUUCAGGAGUACACUAGAAUGUCAUCAAUACACACCAGGACGAACUGAUGGAGGUACUCCCGGAACACCUUGUUCAUGUAUUCCUGGAAUACUGGGUGGGCAUUGACUAGUCCAUAGGGCAUGACCAAGUUCUCAUAGUGGACUGUAGGGGUCACAAAGGCAGUGUUCUACUCAUCCCCCUCAUGUACCCGGAUGAGGUCCAACUUGGUGAAGAUUCAAGUUCUGCAAAGUUGUUCCAGGGUUGCAAGUAUGAGAGGAAGAGGGUAAUGGAAUUUAAUGGUUAUCUUGUUGAAUGUCUGGUAAUCUAUGCAAGGCUGCAAGCCUUUGUCCUUCCUGGAAACAAAUAAAAAGUUGAAAGCAGCAGGGGAAGUGGAAUGACAGAGAAAGCCUUGUUGCAAUGCCUCCUCAAUAUACUCUUCAAUGGCCUUCUGUUCAGGGAUGAAGAGAGGAUAUACCUUGCGUCUGGGCACUGGUUCACUGGGCAGGAUGUUAAUGGCACAGUCCCAUAGUCUAAGAGAUGGUAGUUGAGAGACUCGUUUCAGCCAGAAAACAUUGCUGACAUGGACAUGAGGGAAUAUCCACAGAUCACUUCUCUAUAGGGCUCUUGAUGGAGGUGAAGUUCCGAGGAAAAACUGAAGUCAGGGAGACUGGUCGAGGCAGAUUUGGGAAACACCUGGAGAAACAAUCCUCGCCAUACUUCAGGACUUCACUGGUGGAUUAUGAGAUGGAAGGUUCAUGUGAAAUGAGCCGGAGACACCCUAGAACGAUCCCAGUGGUAAAAUUCUCCAGAACCAAUAGGCAGAUGUCCUCAGUAUGUAGCUGACCAACCUGAAGUUGGAGUAAACCCAACAAGUAUCAAACUUUUCCCUGGCCAAAGUGACCACCAGUGAGCGGUGAGCUAAACCAUAUACGUGAGUGGAUGUAUAUUAAUGGCAGAAUAGGAAACAAAAAUAGGAACAUUCACCAUGGGUCUAGGAGGAGUAGUGGACUCUGGCCACAAUAUAAACACGUGUGGUCAAUCUGCAUGGACUCGGGGUAAGGUUCUGGAAAACUGGGAUACUCUGGCUGGUGAAAAAGAGGCAGUUUUUGGUACUGAUUAUCCUCCAUACAGUCCUUUGCUCUGUUGGUGACUCUGAUGGACAGUUGAAUAAAGUGCUCAAGCCCUGUGGUGCCAUCGUAAGCCCCAAGAUGCAGCCCCAGAGAGUUCUCCAAUCCUUGGCAGAAGGUGGUUAACAGCAAGCAUUCAUUACAUCUGCUAGAAGUGUGCUGGACUGGCCAUGGGACUGGCACUGUAGAUGGGUGCCAGAGAUGUCGCUGGUGAGAAAGCAGGUGCUGAUGGUGCAGUGGGAGUGGGAAUGGUUUUGCUGAGGACCUUGUGGAGAAAAGCCACCAGCUCCUGGAAGAGAUCCACAACUGCCAGGUUCAUGCUGUUAUAGCCUGGUCUUCUGUUAUGGAAUACCAGACUCUGAGAGAAGAUGGAAUGUUAACCCAACAAAUGUGUUUAUUAACAGUUUUGUAGCCAACCUUUUGGCAGGUGAGUCUUUGGUGAAGUAAUGAAAAUAAUGAUGUUUUCCUUGUUUAACCAGAGUUGGAGAACACACAAAGAAUUAAUGAGAUUAUGGAGAUUACCAGGAGCUGGGGACAGGUGAGUAUAGCAGGAUUCGAGUUAGGAGAUAGAGGGAGACACUGGAGAAGACAAGGGAGACAAAAAAAAUAUUGUAAGGAGGUACGUAUGAGAUCAUGGGUAAGCAGAGCAUACAUUUUGAGUCCUUGAUCCACAAGGAAGGCAAGAAAAUGAGGCUGUGAGGAGUGUGUGCUUUUAUAGCGCUGGCUGAGUGAUGAGAUGAUCCGUACUGUGACUGAUUAGAAUGCUGGUGAUUAUAAUCUGUAUAUGAUCUGUGGGAAGCUGACACAAAUACUUUUGGACAGUAGAAUAAAAAAAUCAAUUAAAAAAAUCUGAUUUUAAAUGAGUGUUAUUUUAAUUAUUAUAUAAUUUAUGUAUUUAAACAAUAUUUAAUUUAUUAUAAAACUAUGAAAUAUUAUUUAAUACAAUAUAUAUAUAUAUAUAUUUUUUUGUUUGUUUGUUUGUUUUUAAAUAAACAAUGUAUAUACAAAGUAAAUAUAAAUACAUAUAUUAUUUAAACUAUUAUUAGUUUUCAUUACGAUGGUGAACUUCAAACUGAAGUGAAUGUGGCCCAAUUUUGACGAAAAAAAGAAAAAUUAAGCCUUUAUAAAAGCACUUAUAGUCGUAAAGCUGGUACAAUUAUUUGUCUUUUUAGGGUUCAUUUUAGGGUUUAUGAUGUUGUGUUGUCAUGAGCAAGUUGUGAAGUGUUAAUGUUAAUACAUAUAGUAUUAAAUAGCAAUAAUAAAGUGAGUAUUUUAAUGUUUACAAAUUAGACUAAUUUACUUUUAUUCCGUUUGCCUCACUGUAGACCCGCUUUGGAAUAUUAUUAUUUAUUUUUUUGGACAAAUGGAAAUAGUUCAUGUGGUAAUCAACAUUAUACCACUGAUGGUGUUGAUUGAGUUUAACUUGAACUGAGCCUAGAAUAUUUAUUUCAUUCAUGAAGGUCUAAACCUAAUUGGCAAAAACCAUAUCCUGUCACAGGCUGUAUUGCUGAGUGUUUGUGUGUGUGUGUGUGUGUGUGUGUGUGCGUGUGUGUGUGUGCAUGCCACAGGUCCUACUCAACAGGUCCUACAAUGUUUUACCUUGAUGAUACAUUAAAGGAAGACAUCUGGACACAGUUAGGCACUCUAUUAAUAACCACAAACACACAAAAUUGCCAGAGAGCUUGUGACAUCACUAUGAGCAGGUCUUUAAUGGGAACCCAGACAAUAAUAAAAUCAAAGAGAGCAGAGAAAUGUGUGAUUAAAAGAAAAAAAAAAUCGUUGACUGUCUGUAACCCACAUAUAACUUUAUAAUGGCUAUUCUCAUCCUCAAAUCACCCUCAAAAUAACCAUUACUUGUCCUUCCGUUCCCGUCGUUCCAUUUUUGUUUUCAAGGCCGCACCCUAAUAAACUGCACCAGUUUCCUUACAUCCUGUCCAGAUUUUCUAGUAAUACUCUGUUAUGUAGUAAUUUGUCAUUUACACAUCACAAAUAAUAAUAUUAUAGUUACUGAGUGUAAUUAAACAGACAACAACUUGUACAGUAGUUUCAGACAAUAUUUGAUCAGCUGUCUUCUGAACAAUGCAAACAUGCAACUAUUUACUUAAGGAAUGGCCUGCAGACUGUCAAUAGACUAUCAUUGUAGAGCUAUGAUGGAUGGAUUACUUAUUACUGUAAUCAAAUUCUCUGUGACACAGAUCCGGCACGCAGCAGCCAAUGUACUAAGAGAAUGUUGGCUGCUGCAUCGCACCACCCAUACAAAGGACAACAGUGGAGAGCAUCGUCAUCACCAGAGAUGCUUGCUGGAGGCCAUCCGUGUAUUUCGUCACUUGCGAUUGAAGCAGAGA